rnacentral:rRNA from 1 species
GGGAGCAAGCGUUGUUCGGAUUUACUGGGCGUAAAGGGCGCGUAGGCGGCCACCGCAAGUCAGUUGUGAAAGCUCUGGGCUUAACCCAGAAAGGUCAACUGAUACUGCGGGGCUAGAGUGCAGAAGGGGCAACUGGAAUUCUCGGUGUAGCGGUGAAAUGCGUAGAUAUCGAGAGGAACACCUGCGGCGAAGGCGGGUUGCUGGGCUGACACUGACGCUGAAGUGCGAAAGCUAGGGGAGCGAACGGG